rnacentral:rRNA from 1 species
AGGUUACUGCUAUCGAGGUUCGACUAAGCCAUGCGAGUCGAAUGUAGCAAUACAUGGCGUACUGCUCAGUAACACGUGGACAACCUACCCUUGGGACGGGGAUAAACCCGGGAAACUGGGUAUAAUACCCGAUAGUCCUCGACUGCUGGAAUGCAUCGAGGUCGAAAGCUCCGGUGCCCAAGGAUGGGUCUGCGGCCUAUCAGGUAGUAGUGGGCGUAGCGUACCUACUAGCCUACGACGGGUACGGGUUGUGAGAGCAAGAGCCCGGAGAUGGAUUCUGAGACACGAAUCCAGGCCCUACGGGGUGCAGCAGGCGCGAAAACUUUACAAUGCUGGAAACAGCGAUAAGGGAACCUCGAGUGCCAGGUUACAAAUCUGGCUGUCGUGAUGCCUAAAAAGCAUUGCAUAGCAAGGGCCGGGCAAGACCGGUGCCAGCCGCCGCGGUAACACCGGCGGCUCGAGUGGUAACCGUUAUUAUUGGGUCUAAAGGGUCUGUAGCCGGCCGGAUAAGUCCCUUGGGAAAUCUGGCAGCUUAACUGUCAGGCUUUCAGGAGAUACUGUCUGGCUCGAGGCCGGGAGAGGUGAGAGGUACUUCAGGGGUAGGGGUGAAAUCUUGUAAUCCUUGAAGGACCACCAGUGGCGAAGGCGUCUCACCAGAACGGACCUGACGGCAAGGGACGAAAGCUAGGGGCACGAACCGGAUUAGAUACCCGGGUAGUCCUAGCCGUAAACGAUACUCGCUAGGUGUCGGCCACGGUGCGACCGUGGUCGGUGCCGUAGGGAAGCCGUGAAGCGAGCCACCUGGGAAGUACGGCCGCAAGGCUGAAACUUAAAGGAAU